rnacentral:rRNA from 1 species
UUAAGAGAAUAAGGGUGUACGGAGGAUGCCUAGGUAGCAAGAGCCGAAGAAGGACGUGGUAAGCUGCGAUAAGCUAAGACAAGUUGCAAACGAACGUUAUAGUCUUAGAUUUCCGAAUGGGAAAACCUACUUGCUUGAAGAGCAAGUGCUGAGGCGGGAACCGGAUGAACUGAAACAUCUAAGUAAUCCGAGGAAGAGAAAGUAAAAACGAUUCCCUAAGUAGCGGCGAGCGAACGGGGAAGAGCCCAAACCAUUGCAGUGUCAAGGAUGUAGCCGUUGCUGUAAUGGGGUAGAGGGAUAACAGUCAGGAGAACUACAAGGUAUCCGACGUUAGUCAUGUAAGGUAGCAGAAUGGCAUGGGAAGGCCAAUCGUAGAAGGUGAGAAUCCUGUAUGCGGUGCUUCAUGACGCGUUAUUGUUAAUCCCAAGUAGCACCGAACACGAGGAAUUUGGUGUGAAUCAGCGUGGACCAUAUCACGUAAGGCUAAAUACUCUUGCUGACCGAUAGCGCAUAGUACCGUGAGGGAAAGGUGAAAAGAACCCCGGGAGGGGAGUGAAAUAGAAUCUGAAACCGUACACUUACAAGCGGUCAGAGCCCUUUAUAUGGGUGAUGGCGUGCCUUUUGGAGAAUGAUCCUGCGAGUUACGAUCAAUGGCAAGGUUAAGUAAACCGGAGCCGUAGGGAAACCGAGUCUGAAUAGGGCGUUAAGUCGUUGGUCGUAGACGCGAAACCGGGUGAUCUAUACCUGUCCAGGCUGAAGCUGGGGUAAGACCUAGUGGAGGGCCGAACUCACCGCCGUUGAAAAGUUGGGAGAUGAGGUAGGUAUAGGGGUGAAACGCCAAUCGAACCCGGAGAUAGCUCGUUCUCUCCGAAAUGCAUUUAGGUGCAGCCUUGUUUGUUUAUCUGCGGGGGUAGAGCACUGAAUAGUCUAGGGGGCGUACCGCUUACCAAAACUAAUCAACCUCCGAAUACCGUAGAUCCAGAAAACAGGAGUGAGACCAUGGGUAAUAAGAUCCUUGGUCGAGAGGGAAACAGCCCAGACCACCAGCUAAGGUCCCAAAUUAUAUCUAAGUGGGAAAGGAGGUGGAGAUUCACAGACAACCAGGAUGUUGGCUUAGAAGCAGCCAUACAUUUAAAGAGUGCGUAAUAGCUCACUGGUCGAGAGUCUCUGCGCCGACAAUGUAACGGGGCUAAGAUAUAAACCGAAGCUGUGGAAUGUACCGUAUGGUAUAUUGGUAGGAGAGCGUUGUGUAGGCCGGUGAAGGUGUACCGAAAGGAGCACUGGAGGUAUCACAAGUGAGAAUGCAGGAAUGAGUAGCGAAAAAGAGGGUGAGAAUCCCUCUCGCCGGAAGUCCAAGGUUUCCAGGGCAAUGCUUGUCAUCCCUGGGGAAGUCGGGACCUAAGUUGAGGCUUAUAAGCGUAGGCGAAUGGAAAGUAGGUUAAUAUUCCUACACCAGUUAUGUAUUGUGAUGGAGGGACGCAGAAGGGUAGAUACGCUGGGCGACGGUUGUCCCAGUGCAAGCAUGUAGGGUGGCCAGAUAGGAAAAUCCGUUUGGCUAUAUCUGAGGUGUGAUGCGGAGCACGUAAGUGCGGAAGGUAUUGAUCCCACGCUGCCAAGAAAAGCUUCUAACGUUAAGACAUAACUGCCCGUACUGUAAACCGACACAGGUGGACAGCGUGAGAAACGUAAGGCGGACAGGCUAACUCUCGCUAAGGAACUCUGCAAAAUGGCCCCGUAACUUCGGGAGAAGGGGUGCCUUUGAUGGUGAUGGUUCACGCAACCUGAGCUGUCGGAGGCCGCAGUGAAAAGACUCAAGCGACUGUUUAACAAAAACACAGGUCUAUGCUAAGCUGAAAGGCGAUGUAUAUGGGCUGACACCUGCCCAGUGCCGGAAGGUUAAGAGGAGGAGUGAGAGCUCCGAAUUGAAGCCCCGGUGAACGGCGGCCGUAACUAUAACGGUCCUAAGGUAGCGAAAUUCCUUGUCGGGUAAGUUCCGACCUGCACGAAUGGUGUAACGAUUUGAGUGCUGUCUUGGCGGGAGGCCUGGUGAAGUUGUAUUAUGGGUGAAGAUACCCAUUACCUGCAGCAGGACGGAAAGACCCCAUGGAGCUUUACUGUAGCUUGGUAUUGGGUCUUGAUGCUGUGUGUAUAGGAUAGUUGGGAGACUUUGAUUGUAGGCCGCUAGGUUUACAUGAGUCGUUGGUGGAAUACCAACCACGCAGUAUUGGGAUUCUAAUCUGGUGUGUGUAACACCGGAGACAGUGCUAGGUGGGCAGUUUGACUGGGGCAGAUCGGAAGAGCACACGUCUGAACUCCAGUCACAU